GAAGUCGUAGGAGGCAUUGACCUUCGGGUUCGUCUGGUCGCAUCCAGCCCGAAGUGAGCCAUAGCGAAACCGGCCAACGACGAA
rnacentral:ncRNA from 1 species